GACCCCAAUUGUAGUGACCCCAUUGUGGUGACCCCAUAGAGAGGACCCCAUUGAGGUGACCCCAUUGUGAUGACCCCAUUGAAGGGACCCCAUAAAGGGGACCCCAUUGUAGUGACCCCAUUGAGGGGACCCCAUUGUAGUGACCCCAUUAUGGUGACCCCAAAAAGGGGACCCCAUAGAAGGUACCCCAUUAUGAUGACCCCAUAAAGGGGACCCCAUUGAGGUGACUCCAUAGAAGGGACCCCAAAAAGGGGACCCCAUUGAGGGGAACCCCAAUAUGGUGACCCCAUAAAGGGGACCCCGUAGAAGGGGACCCCAUUGUGGUGACCCCAUAAAGGGGAUCCCAUAGAAGGGACCCCAUAAAGGGGACCCUGUAGAAGGGAAUCCCAUUGUGGUGACCCCAUAAAGGGGACUCCAUUGAGGUGAUCCCACUGAGGUGACCCCAUUGGGGCGUCCCCAUAACGAUGUCCCCAUUGCGGCGACCCCAUUGCAGUGACCCCAUUGAGGUGACCCUAUUGUGGUGACCCCAUUGAGGUCACCCCACUGAAGUGACCCCAUUGAGGUGACCCCAUUGAGGUGACCCCAUAAAGAUGGCCCCAUAAAGACGUCCCCAUUGAGGUGGCCCCACUGAGGUGACCCCAUUGGGGUGACCCCAUAACGAUGUCCCCAUUGUGGUGACCCCAUAAAGACGUCCCCAUUGCGGCGACACCAUAACGAUGUCCCCAUUGCAGUGACCCCAUAACGAUGUCCCCAUAGUGGUGACCCCACUGAGGUGACCCCAUUGAGGUGACCCCAUAAAGAUGGCCCCAUAAAGACGUCCACAUUGAGGUGGCCCCACUGAGGUGACCCUAUUGGGGUGACCCCACUGAACUGACCCCAUUGAGGUGACCCCAUAAAGAUGUCCCUAUUGAGGUGACCCCAUUGUAUUGACCCCAUUAAGGUGACCCAAUUGGGGUGACCCCAUUGCAGCGACCCUAUUGAGGUGACCCCACUGAGGUGACCCUAUUGGAGUGACCCCAUUGAGGUGACCCCAUUGGGGCGUCCCCAUAACGACGUUCCCAUCGCAGUGACCCCAUUGUGGUCACCCCAUUGAAGUGACCCCAUAACGAUGUCCCCAUUGCGGUGACCCCAUUGAGGUGACCCCAUUGGGGUGUCCCCAUAAAGAUGGCCCCAUAAAGACGUCCCCAUUGCAGUGACCCCAUUGCAGUGACCCCAUUGAAGUGACCCCAUUGAGGCGAUCCCAUUGGGACGACCCCAUAACGAUGUCCCCAUAGUGGUGACCCCAUUGAGGUGACCCCAUUGAGGUGACCCCAUUGAAGUGACCCCAUAACGAUGUCCCCAUUGUGGUGACCCCAUUGAGGUGACCCCAUAAAGAUGUCCCCAUAAAGACGUCCCCAUUGCGGCGACCCCAUAACGAUGUCCCCAUUGAGGUGACCCCAUAACGAUGUCCCCAUUUAAGUGACCCAAUAACGAUGUCCCCACUGAGGUGACCCCAUUGGAGUGACCCCAUUGAGGUGACCCCAUAAAGAUGUCCCCACUGCGGCGACCCCAUUGAGGUGACCCCACUGUGGUGACCCCAUUGAGGUGACCCCAUAACAACGUCCCCAUUGUGGCGACCCCAUUGAGGUGACCCCAUAAAGAUGUCCCCAUUGAGGUGACCCCAUUGCAGUGACCCCAUUGAGGUGACCCCAUUGAAGUGAUCCCACUGAGGUGACCCCACUGAGGUGACCCCAUAAAGUUGUCCCCAUUGAGGUGACCCCAUUGCAGUGACCCCACUGAAGUGACCCCAUUGAGGUGACCCCAUAAAGAUGUCCCCAUAGUGGUGACCCCAUUGAGGUGACCCCACUGAACUGACCCCAUUGGGGCGUCCCCAUAAAGAUGUCCCCAUUGCAGUGACCCUAUAGGGAUGACCCCAUUGCAGUGACCCCAUUGUGGUGACCCCAUUGGAGUGACCCCAUUGGGGCGUCCCCCUAAAGAUGUCCCUAUUGGGGUGACCCCAUUGAGGUGACCCCAUUGAGGUGACCCCAUUGAAGUGACCCCAUAACGAUGUCCCCAUUGCGGUGACCCCAUUGAGGUGACCCCACAGAGGUGACCCCAUUGAGGCAACCCCAUUGUGGUGACCCCAUAAAGAUGUCCCUAUUGUGGUGACCCCAUAAAGACGUCCCCAUUGCGGUGACCCCAUUGAGGUGACCCCAUUGAGGUGACCCCAUUGGGGUGACCCCAUAACGAUGUCCCCAUUGCAGUGACCCCAUAAAGUUGUCCCCAUUGCGGUGACCCCACUGAGGUGAUCCCAUAACGACGUCCCCAUUGCGGUGACCCCAUUGAGGUGACCCCACUGAGGUGACCCCAUAAAGUUGUCCCCAUUGCGGUGACCCCAUUGAGGUGACCCCAUUGAGGUGACCCCAUAAGUCUGCCCCAAAAAGGGGGCAUCCACCCUAUAACAGUGUCCAUCCACCCCAUAGCAGUGUCCCCACCCCAUAGCAACAUCCCCACCCCAUAGCCGUGUCCAUCCACCCCAUAGCAACAUCCUCACCCCAUAGCCGUGCCCCCACCCCAUAGCAACAUCCCCACCCCAUAGUCGUGCCCCCACCCCAUAGCCAUGUCCAUCCACCCCAUAGCCGUGUCCAUCCACCCCAUAACAACAUCCCCACCCCAUAGCCGUAUCCAUCCACCCCAUAACAGUGCCCCCACCCUAUAACAGUGCCCCCACCCCAUAGCAUCACCCCCACCCCAUAGCUGUGUCCAUCCACCCCAUAGCAACAUCCCCACCCCACAGCAACACCCCCACCCCAUAGCCACAUCCCCACCCCAUAGCCAUGUCCAUCCACCCCAUAGCAACACCCCCACCCCAUAGCAACGUCCCCACCCCAUAGCAUCACCCCC
ensembl:lncRNA